UUUAAUUUUUUUCCCCAAACCCUACCCCGCGCUCCACUUUCCAAUUCCCUCUAAAACCCGUAUCUCUUCUUUUGCUAGCAGUGUCAGUUUCCUUCUGAAACCCUUGCUGAUCUUCAAUCUCUGCACCAUUGACGUUCUCUGUUGCUCCAUCUCUGCGCCAUCUCUGUUCACCGAGCCGUAGAUCCUUGCAAUCGACCCACAUCUCUAAGAGCCGUUUCUGCUGCUUCUUCUCCUCAAGUUGACAUUCCCGUGGAAUUUAGCAAAUUAAUUAAAGUGCAGUGUCUGGGGGCAUUGGGUGUUGAUUGUCAUCAACGCCUCGGAUGCUUCUAUAACAUAUUAUGACUCAAUGUGCGGUGAUCCAAGAACUUACACAGCCAUGAAAAACUUGUUUGAUUCAGGUUUAAUGACUUAUCGCGCUCAAAGAGAACAUGUGUUGCCCAAAAAGAAAUCAAACACCAUCAACUGGAGCUCUGUUAAGGAUGCUUAUGACUUAAGUUGCAACUUCUUUAGUCAAGAUCAAGUGGAUGAGAUAAGGGAGGAGUGGUCUUCCUAUGUUCUUCAGAAUUUCAUUAUGAAUAAGUAGCACAAUUUUUUAUUGGGAUGAAAAAAGAGGUUUGCUGCUGAAUGGAAGUUCUAUGUUGCCUUUGCUACUGAGAAGGAAGACUAACUGCAAAGAAACAAGUUCACUGGUUGUUUCAUUUGGAGAAAUGGUAAUAGACUAUGCCUACCAUGAGAGGAAUGCCACUUACAAUGUAGUUGUUGGUAUCUAGUUUCCGGGAUCUUAGAUCUAUGGAAUUUGUUUAUGGACAAUUUUUAAUUAAUUCGGUUUCUAAGUGUAGUUUACAAUCAAUGUCUGUUUAUUUAGUUUGUGGGUAGAAUUUAUUUGAGAUCUCAGAACUAUAUGGAAUUUGUUAUGGUUUCAGCAAAUAUAUGGAUUGAGUAUCAACUAUGAAA